rnacentral:rRNA from 1 species
GACGAACGCUGGCGGCGUGCCUAAUACAUGCAAGUUGAGCGCUGAAGGUUGGUACUUGUACUGACUGGAUGAGCAGCGAACGGGUGAGUAACGCGUGGGGAAUCUGCCUUUGAGCGGGGGACAACAUUUGGAAACGAAUGCUAAUACCGCAUAAAAACUUUAAACACAAGUUUUAAGUUUGAAAGAUGCAAUUGCAUCACUCAAAGAUGAUCCCGCGUUGUAUUAGCUAGUUGGUGAGGUAAAGGCUCACCAAGGCGAUGAUACAUAGCCGACCUGAGAGGGUGAUCGGCCACAUUGGGACUGAGACACGGCCCAAACUCCUACGGGAGGCAGCAGUAGGGAAUCUUCGGCAAUGGAAGAAAGUCUGACCGAGCAACGCCGCGUGAGUGAAGAAGGUUUUCGGAUCGUAAAACUCUGUUGGUAGAGAAGAACGUUGGUGAGAGUGGAAAGCUCAUCAAGUGACGGUAACUACCCAGAAAGGGACGGCUAACUACGUG